UACGGGGGGGGCAAGCGUUGUUCGGAAUUACUGGGCGUAAAGGGCUCGUAGGUGGCCAACUAAGUCGGACGUGAAAUCCCUCGGCUUAACCGGGGAACUGCGUCCGAUACUGGAUGGCUUGAGUUUGGGAGAGGGAUGCGGAAUUCCAGGUGUAGCGGUGAAAUGCGUAGAUAUCUGGAGGAACACCGGUGGCGAAGGCGGCAUCCUGGACCACGACUGACGCUGAGGAGCGAAAGCCAGGGGAGCAAACGGG
rnacentral:rRNA from 1 species